rnacentral:tRNA from 1 species
GUGGAUGUAGCUCAGUUGGUAGAGCCCCGGAUUGUGGAUCCGGUGGUCGUGGGUUCAAGCCCCAUCAUCCACCCCA